UUAAGGAAAAUUAAUCCUAAUUAAACUAGAAUAAGAAUAAGACUAAGAAAACCUAUCCUGACGAUGACUUUCAGGUUUUGCGCAUACUGAAUGAACAAAGUGGAGAAGAGCGGGUUUUGCAAUUGAGGGAUGAGUGGUAAUGAGUUGAAUCUCUGUUAUUUCAUCUAUUAUCAAUCUGCUAAAUAUACUUAAAAACACAGAUUCACAAUCAAGCUAUUUCGUUAAAGAGGACUAAUACUCUUGAAUAGUUUCCUCUAUUUCUGUUAUAGUAGAAUGUAGACAACAUGGGGGAUGGGCUUUCCUGUUCACAAUGACUUGUUACUGAAUGAACAAAGUGGAGAAGUGGAGAAUGAACGAUGACUUUAGACAACAUGACGAUGACUUUCAGGUUUUGCGCAUACUGAAUGAACAAAGUGGAGAAGAGCGGGUUUUGCAAUUGAGGGAUGAGUGGUAAUGAGUUGAAUCUCUGUUAUUUCAUCUAUUAUCAAUCUGCUAAAUAUACUUAAAAACACAGAUUCACAAUCAAGCUAUUUCGUUAAAGAGGACCAAUACUCUUGAAUAGUUUCCUCUAUUUCUGUUAUAGUAAAAUGUAGACAACAUGGGGGAUGGGCUUUCCUGUUCACAAUGACUUGUUACUGAAUGAACAAAGUGGAGAAGUGGAGAAUGAACGAUGACUUUAGACAACAUGACGAUGACUUUCAGGUUUUGCGCAUACUGAAUGAACAAAGUGGAGAAGAGCGGGUUUUGCAAUUGAGGGAUGAGUGGUAAUGAGUUGAAUCUCUGUUAUUUCAUCUAUUAUCAAUCUGCUAAAUAUACUUAAAAACACAGAUUCACAAUCAAGCUAUUUCGUUAAAGAGGACUAAUACUCUUGAAUAGUUUCCUCUAUUUCUGUUAUAGUAGAAUGUAGACAACAUGGGGGAUGGGCUUUCCUGUUCACAAUGACUUGUUACUGAAUGAACAAAGUGGAGAAGUGGAGAAUGAACGAUGACUUUAGACAACAUGACGAUGACUUUCAGGUUUUGCGCAUACUGAAUGAACAAAGUGGAGAAGAGCGGGUUUUGCAAUUGAGGGAUGAGUGGUAAUGAGUUGAAUCUCUGUUAUUUCAUCUAUUAUCAAUCUGCUAAAUAUACUUAAAAACACAGAUUCACAAUCAAGCUAUUUCGUUAAAGAGGACCAAUACUCUUGAAUAGUUUCCUCUAUUUCUGUUAUAGUAAAAUGUAGACAACAUGGGGGAUGGGCUUUCCUGUUCACAAUGACUUGUUACUCGAACACGAAUACUUUUGCUACUCUUAAAUCAUCUUCCCAACCGACAGUUCAGUUGUGAUGAUAUUUAGUCAUGCAGAACAACAAUCUCAAUGUGCAUUGUGUUACUUAUAUCUAAUAUUUGCUUCUUUGGAUCUGCCAUGGACCCAAUGAGAUUAUCAUGUGAACUAAACAAACAGAGAUUACAGUGACACUGCCACUCGGAUGACUUUCAAACACUAGUUUUAUCCCCCUUCUUCUUGCAUCAUGUCUUUUGAUGUUGACGUAGCUUUUAUGUCUUUCUUGUCUUUGCAUUUGAGUUUACAAAGGCAUCUUUAUCCUAAAUUCUAAAGCAGACAACGUUUUAGUCCCAGCCGCUUUUCUGCAUUGCUUCAUUUGAUCAAAAUACCUUCCAGUUGUGAGAAACUAUAAUUCAUCAUCUGUAUGAACCUUCUGUGGAAGAGACCAGAGAUCGUCUCUUGUUAAGCUUUGUAAUUCUAAUUGUUGACAGACAUUAUGAUGAGGAACUUACUUGCUUUCCAGGUGCUAUAGUGUUGUUGCACCAAAGAUACUAUUCAUGUCAUUGGUGAGUUUGACAGCGAAGGAAAAUGUGAAAUAAACCGCGAGAAGAAUUUUCUCAUUGUUCAUCCAGAUAUUUUAGUCUCUGGAACAAGGUUUCAGUUGUUCAAGGCGAGCUGUGCGGGAUGAGAGGUUAAAAUCUGGCAGAGUAUUCAGCUGCAGCAUUGAUUGGCACAUUAUUGCAUCAGAUGUUUCAGGCUGGACUGAUCAGAGAGUCCCCUACACAAGAAAU